GGUCAAUGAUGUAACGGCAUGUAUUAACUGACUAAAGCUGAAGACUCUUCCUUUUAGCUCUAGAAUUACACUGAGACCUG